AGAGUUUGAUCCUGGCUCAGGGUAAACGCUGGCGGCGUGCCUAAAACAUGCAAGUCGAACGGGCACUCGCAAGGGUGUCAAGUGGCAGACGGCUGAGUAACGCGUGGGUGACGUACCUGUUGGUGGGGCAUAACUGCCCGAAAGGGUGGCUAAUUCCGCAUCCGUCCUGCAUUUCGCUGUGCAGGGGAAAGCUUCGCAAGAGGCGCCGAUGGAGCGGCCCGCGUCCGAUUAGCUGGUUGGUGGGGUAACGGCCUACCAAGGCGACGAUCGGUAGCUGGUCUUAGAGGAUGAUCAGCCAGACUGGGACUGAGACACGGCCCAGACUCCUACGGGAGGCAGCAGUUAGGAAUUUUGGGCAAUGGGCGCAAGCCUGACCCAGCAACGCCGCGUGGGUGACGAAGGCCUUCGGGUUGUAAAGCCCUUUUCUGAGGGAAGAUGAUGACGGUACCUCAGGAAGAAGCACCGGCUAACUACGUGCCAGCCGCCGCGGUAAUAC
rnacentral:rRNA from 1 species